GGACCGCUGGCGUAACGGCAGCGCGUUUGAAUCCAGAUCGAAAGGCUAUCUGUUCGAGUCAGGUGUAGUUCA